AACUGCGGACGGCUCAUUAUAACAGUAAUAGUUUCUUUGGUUAGUAAAAUACAAGGAUAGCUUUGUGAAUGAUAAAGAUAAUACUUGAGACGAUCCAGUUUGUAUUAGUACAAAAUGGCCAAUUCAUUCAAUGAAUUGAGAAAUGACAUUCUAAGUGAGUUAGGAUGCCACGACAAUUGUAGAACACACAGUGUUUAACAAGUAACCAAUGAGAAUUUCUGAUCUAUCAAUCAGUUGGUAGUAUCGAGGACUACCAAGAUUAUAACGGAUAACGAGGAAUUGGGGUUCGACAUCGGAGAGGGAGCUUUACAGAUGGCUACCACUUCUAAGGAAGGCAGCAGGC
rnacentral:rRNA from 1 species